GGCUGAUUAAAUCACCUUUAUUAAAAGAUACAAGAUGCUGGAAUACCAACACUUUAGAAUGCAGAAGUACUUUACACACAGGCCCAGGCUUGUGUCCAAUAUGGCCCCUUAUUCACUAUAUAGUGCACUACUUUACACACAGGCCCAGGCUUGUGUCCAAUAUGGCCCCUUAUUCACUAUAUAGUGCACUACUUUACACACAGGGCCAGGCUUGUGUCCAAUAUGGCCCCUUAUUCACUAUAUAGUGCACUACUUUACACACAGGGCCAGGCUUGUGUCCAAUAUGGCCCCUUAUUCACUAUAUAGUGCACUACUUUACACACAGGCCCAGGCUUGUGUCCAAUAUGGCCCCUUAUUCACUAUAUAGUGCACUACUUCACACACAGGCCCAGGCUUGUGCCCAACCAAACUCACAUAGAGGCUGUAUCCAAUAUGGCCCCUUAUUCACCAUGUAGUGCACUACUUUAGACCAGAGCCCUAUUCCCUAUAUAGGGCACUACUUUAGACCAGAGCCCUAUUCCAUAUAUAGUGCACUACUUUAGACCAGAGCCCUAUUCCCUAUAUAGUGCACUACUUUAGACCAGAGCCUUAUUCCAUAUAUAGUGCACUACUUUAGACCAGAGCCCUAUUCCCUAGAUAGUGCACUACCUUUAACUACAGCAUUAUUCCAUAUAUAGUGCACUACUUUAGACCAGAGCCCUAUUCCCUAUAUAGUGCACAACAUUAUACUACAGCCCUAUUCCCUAUAUAGUGCACUACUUUAUACUACAGCCCUAUUCCCUAUAUAGUGCACUACUUUUAACCAGAGCCCUGAAUAGACCAGACACCUAAUCAUCUAUAUACAUCUUAAUCUAGCAUUGUGUUUCUCCUAUUAAUCACCCUGUGAAUGACUCUCUAUGGGUCCAGGUUAACACACUAUAAAGGGGAACAGAAUGACUCUCUAUGGGUCCAGGUUAACACACUAUAAAGGGGAACAGAAUGACUCUCUAUGGGUCCAGGUUAACACUCUAUAAAGGGGAACAGAAUGACUCUCUAUGGGUCCAGGUUAACACUCUAUAAAGGGAACAGAAUGACUCUCUAUGGGUCCAGGUUAACACUCUAUAAGGGGAACAGAAUGACUCUCUAUGGGUCCAGGUUAACACUCUAUAAAGGGGAAUAGAAUUACUCUCUAUGGGUCCAGGUUAACACUCUAUAAGGGGAACAGAAUGACUCUCUAUGGGUCGAGGUUAACACUCUAUAAGGGGAACAGAAUGACUCUCUAUGGGUCCAGGUUAACACUCUAUAAGGGGAACAGAAUGACUCUCUAUGGGUCCAGGUUAACACAUUAUAAAGUGAAUAAGAGUCCAUUUGGAACACAGCUACAGUAGUAAUAACAAAGGUAUUUUUUGAUCAAAAUCCCUGUAAAUAUCUGCGGUAUCCUUGCCAACCCAUUUCAAUCUGCAGGUUGGUUUUUUUCUUUUCAAAAUCACAACGUGACAGUAAACCAGUCUUUAAAGAAAAAAGAGAUCUGAAACCAUGCAACACUCAACAAGCCCACGUUACAGUUACUUCUGGGUUCGCCACCGUUUUGAAUGGCAUCAUCAAUAUCAUCAUCAUCAUCAUCAUCAUCAUCAUCAUCAAUAUCAUCAUCAUCAUCAUCAAUAUCAUGAUCAUCGUCAUCAAUAUCAUGAUCAUCAUCAUCAAUAUCAUCAUCAUCAAUAUCAUGAUCAUCAUCAUCAAUAUUAUCAUCAUCAAUAUCAUGAUCAUCAUCAAUAUCAUCAUCAUCAUCAUCAAUAUCAUGAUCAUUAUCAAUAUCAUGAUCAUCAUCAACAAUAUCAUGAUCAUCAUCAAUAUCAUCAUCAUCAAUAUCAUGAUCAUCAUCAAUAUCAUGAUCAUCAUCAUCAUCAUCAAUAUCAUCAUCAUCAUCAUCAAUAUCAUCAUCAUCAAUAUCAUGAUCAUCAUCAAUAUCAUGAUCAUCAUCAUCAUCAUCAAUAUCAUCAUCAUCAUCAUCAAUAUCAUCAUCAUCAACACUUACAACACCAUAAGACUUCACACAACAGUGACAAGGACGUUUUGACGUUUUUUUUUUUGGGGGAGACAGAAUCGAUCAAAUCUCGAAGACCUCAUCCACUGAGUUUCCAUGACAGGACAAAACGGGUCACGUCGUAGAUAGAACGGGGUUCUCUUCUGUUUCAUUAGUUCGUUACCCGAGUCCAUCGCUGCCUUUAGGCCUCAUGCUUGGUGUUAAAGGGGGACAGUGACCCCGAGCAACAGAUAUACACUACACUUCAGCAAACUAACCACUGGCACCAAACACUAACCUGCUGCUCCCAGAUCAGUGUCUAACCUCCGUGUUGGCACCAAACACUAACCUGCAGCUCCCAGAUCAGUGUCUAACCUCCGUGUUGGCACCAAACACUAACCUGCUGCUCCCAGAUCAGUGUCUAACCUCCGUGUUGGCACCAAACACUAACCUGCAGCUCCCAGAUCAGUGUCUAACCUGCUGCUCCCAGAUCAGUGUCUAACCUGCUGCUCCCAGAUCAGUGUCUAACCUGCUGCUCCCAGAUCAGUGUCUAACCUGCUGCUCCCAGAUCAGUGUCUAACCUGCUGCUCCCAGAUCAGUGUCUAACCUCCGUGUUGGCACCAAACACUAACCUGCAGCUCCCAGAUCAGUGUCUAACCUGCUGCUCCCAGAUCAGUGUCUAACCUGCUGCUCCCAGAUCAGUGUCUAACCUGCUGCUCCCAGAUCAGUGUCUAACCUGCUGCUCCCAGAUCAGUGUCUAACCUGCUGCUCCCAGAUCAGUGUCUAACCUGCUGCUCCCAGAUCAGUGUCUAACCUGCUGCUCCCAGAUCAGUGUCUA
ensembl:lncRNA